rnacentral:rRNA from 1 species
UACGGAGGGAGCUAGCGUUGUUCGGAAUUACUGGGCGUAAAGCGCACGUAGGCGGCUUUGUAAGUUAGGGGUGAAAGCCUGGAGCUCAACUUCAGAAUUGCCCUUAAGACUGCAUCGCUUGAAUCCAGGAGAGGUGAGUGGAAUUCCGAGUGUAGAGGUGAAAUUCGUAGAUAUUCGGAAGAACACCAGUGGCGAAGGCGGCUCACUGGACUGGCAUUGACGCUGAGGUGCGAAAGCGUGGGGAGCAAACAGG